UACGUAGGGUGCAAGCGUUAAUCGGAAUUACUGGGCGUAAAGCGUGCGCAGGCGGUUACGUAAGUCAGAUGUGAAAUCCCCGGGCUCAACCUGGGAAUGGCAUUUGAGACUGCGUGGCUAGAGUGAAUCAGAGGGGGGUAGAAUUCCACGUGUAGCAGUGAAAUGCGUAGAGAUGUGGAGGAAUACCGAUGGCGAAGGCAGCCCCCUGGGAAGUCACUGACGCUCAAGCACGAAAGCGUGGGGAGCAAACAGG
rnacentral:rRNA from 1 species